rnacentral:rRNA from 1 species
CCUGGUUGAUCCUGCCAGUAAUCAUAUGCUUGUCUCAAAGAUUAAGCCAUGCAUGUCUAAAGUACAUGCCGAAAUAAGGCGAAACCGCGAAUGGCUCAUUAAAUCAGUUAUGGUUCCUUAGAUCGUUUCUUCCUACUUGGAUAACUGUGGCAAUUCUAGAGCUAAUACAUGCAGUGAGCCUGGAGCCCUUUGGGUAACGGGUGCUUUUAUUAGACCAAGAUCGAUCGGGUUUCGGCCCGUAUUGUGUGGUGACUCUGGAUAACUUUGUGCUGAUCGCAUGGCCACGAGCCGGCGACGUUUCUUUCAAGUGUCUGCCUUAUCAACUUUCGAUGGUAGGUUACUUGCUUACCAUGGUUGUUACGGGUAACGGAGAAUCAGGGUUCGAUUCCGGAGAGGGAGCCUGAGAAACGGCUACCACAUCCAAGGAAGGCAGCAGGCGCGCAAAUUACCCACUCCCGGCACGGGGAGGUAGUGACGAAAAAUAACAAUACGGGACCUUUUGAGGCCCCGUAAUUGAAAUGAGUACACUCUAAAUCCUUUAACGAGGAUCAAUUGGAGGGCAAGUCUGGUGCCAGCAGCCGCGGUAAUUCCAGCUCCAAUAGCGUAUACUAAAGCUGCUGCGGUUAAAAAGCUCGUAGUUGGAUCUCAGUUCCAGACGAGUAGUGCAUCUACCCGAUGCGACGGCUCGGACUGAACAUCAUGCCGGUUCUUUCUUGGCGCACUUCAUUGUGUGCCUCGAGAUGGCCGGUGCUUUUACUUUGAAAAAAUUAGAGUGCUCAACGCAGGCGAGUCGCCUGAAUAAACUUGCAUGGAAUAAUAGAACAAGACCUCGUUUCUGUUCUGUUGGUUUUUGGAAUACGAGGUAAUGAUUAAGAGGGACGGACGGGGGCAUUCGUAUUGCGGCGCUAGAGGUGAAAUUCUUGGACCGUCGCAAGACGAACUACUGCGAAAGCAUUUGCCAAGAAUGUUUUCAUUGAUCAAGAACGAAAGUCAGAGGUUCGAAGGCGAUCAGAUACCGCCCUAGUUCUGACCAUAAACGAUGCCAACCAGCGAUCCGCCUGAGUUACUCAAAUGACUCGGCGGGCAGCUUCCGGGAAACCAAAGUAUUUGGGUUCCAACCGCGGGAAGUAUGGUUGCAAAGAUGAACUUAAAAUGAAUUGACGGUGAAGGGCACCACAGGAGUGGAGCCUUGCGUCUUAAUUUGACUCAGACAUUCACGGGAAAACUUACCCGGCCCGGACACUGGGAGGAUUGACAGAUUGAGAGCUCUUUCUUGAUUCGGUGGAUGGUGGUGCAUGGCCGUUCUUAGUUGGUGGAGCGAUUUGUCUGGUUAAUUCCGAUAACGAACGAGACUCUAGCCUAUUAAAUAGGUGCGGGGUUCCCAGCACCUUACAACCUUCUUAGAGGGACAAGCGGCUCCUAGCCGCACGAAACAGAGCAAUAACAGGUCUGUGAUGCCCUUAGAUGUCCGGGGCCGCACGCGCGCUACACUGAAGGAAGCAGCGUGUCUUUAUCCCUGUCUGAAAAGACUGGGUAACCCGUGGAUACUGUUCUUUCGUGAUUGGGAUAGGGGCUUGCAAUUGUUCCCCUUAACGAGGAAUUCCCAGUAAGCGCGAGUCAUAAGCUCGCGUUGAUUACGUCCCGGCCCUUUGUACACACCGCCCGUCGCUACUACCGAUUGAAUGAUUUAGUGAGGUCUUCGGACCGAUGUCCGGCGCGGCCUUUCGGUUGCGCCGGUCUGUUGGAAAGAUGACCAAACUUGAUCAUUUAGAGGAAGUAAAAGUCGUAACAAGGUUUCCGUAGGUGAACCUGCGGAAG